GACGAACCGUGCAAACGUUAUUCGGAAUCACUGGGCUUAAAGGGCGCGUAGGCGGACAGGUAAGUCAGGGGUGAAAGCCCACGGCUCAACCGUGGAAGGGCCUUUGAUACUGCCUGUCUUGAGGGAGGUAGGGGCGUGCGGAACUUCCGGUGGAGCGGUGAAAUGCGUAGAUAUCGGAAGGAACACCGGUGGCGAAAGCGGCGCGCUGGAUCUCUACUGACGCUGAGGCGCGAAAGCCAGGGGAGCAAACGGG
rnacentral:rRNA from 1 species